AGCGAACGCUGGCGGCGUGCCUAACACAUGCAAGUCGAACGUGAACGGGGGCAACCCCUAGUAAAGUGGCGUACGGGUGAGUAACGCGUAGGUAAUCUACCCCAGAAUCUGGAAUAACCUGCCGAAAGGCGGGCUAAUACUGGAUAGAGCGAUGGAAUCCGUAAUUGGGUUUUUCGGGAAAGGGAGGGAGCAAUCCCCCUCGUUUUGGGAUGAGCCUGCGUCUCAUUAGCUAGUUGGUAAGGUAAUGGCUUACCAAGGCAUUGAUGGGUAGCUGGUCUGAGAGGAUGAUCAGCCACACUGGAACUGAAACACGGUCCAGACUCCUACGGGAGGCAGCAGUGGGGAAUCUUGCGCAAUGGACGAAAGUCUGACGCAGCCACGCCGCGUGAGUGAAGAAGGCCUUCGGGUUGUAAAGCUCUGUCACGAGGGACGAACGGCUAUUGGGUUAACAGCCCAGUGGAUUGACGGUACCUCGGGAGGAAGCACCGGCUAACUCUGUGCCAGCAGCCGCCGUAA
rnacentral:rRNA from 1 species